AUUGAACGCUGGCGGCAGGCCUAACACAUGCAAGUCGAACGAGUGGCGGACGGGUGCGUAAUGUCUGGGAAACUGCCUGAUGGAGGGGGAUAACUACUGGCAACGGUAGCUAAUACCGCAUACCAUCAGAUGUGCCCAGAUGGGAUUGGCUAGUAGGUGAGGUAACGGCUAACCUAGGCGACGAUCCCUAGCUGGUCUGAGAGGAUGACCAGCCACACUGGAACUGAGACACGGUCCUGACUCCUACGGGAGGCAGGAGUGGGUAAUAUUGCACAAUGGGCGCAAGCCUGAUGCAGCCAUGCCGCGUGUAUGAAGAAGGCCUUCGGGUUGUAAAGUACUUUCAGCGGGGAGGCGUUACCCGCAGAAGAAGCACCGGCUAACUCCGUGCCAGCAGCCGCGGUAAUAC
rnacentral:rRNA from 1 species